UACGGAGGGUGCAAGCGUUAUCCGGAUUCACUGGGUUUAAAGGGUGCGUAGGCGGGCAGGUAAGUCAGUGGUGAAAUCUCCGAGCUUAACUCGGAAACUGCCAUUGAUACUAUUUGUCUUGAAUAUUGUGGAGGUAAGCGGAAUAUGUCAUGUAGCGGUGAAAUGCUUAGAUAUGACAUAGAACGCCAAUUGCGAAGGCAGCUUACUACACAAUGAUUGACGCUGAGGCACGAAAGCGUGGGGAUCAAACAGG
rnacentral:rRNA from 1 species